GUUUUCAUAGAUUUGUAUCACACAUCUGUGAAAAAAUUAGUUUUAUUUACCGAAGAGCCUCUUGUUAGACAACAUUGGAAGUACGUCCACCUGGGGCAUGGAUAAAUAGGCUGCGAGAAGAUCUGACUUUUGAGCAGGCUACA